ensembl:lncRNA
GUAAGAAAGACAUCGAGGCCCUGGAGCGUGUCCAGAGGAGGGCAACAAAGCUGGUGAGGGCUCUGGAGCACAGGCCUUAUGAAGAGCAGCUGAAGGAGCUGGGAUUGUUCAGUCUGGAGAAGAGGAGGCUCAGGGGAGACCUUAUUGCUCUCUAUAACUACCUGAAGGGAGGUUGCAGUGAGCUGGGGGGCAGCCUCUUCUCUCGUGUGACUAGUGAUAGGACUAGAGGGAAUGGCUUCAAGCUGCACCAGGGAAGAUUCAGGCUGGACGUUAGGAAAUACUACUUGUCUGAAAGGGUGGUCAGGCACUGGAAUGGGCUGCCCAGAGAGGUGGUGGAGUCAUCGACCCUGGUGGUGUUCAAAGAGCGUUUGAGAAAGAGAAAAACAAGCAGCCAUUUGGUUUCCUUACAAAAUCCCAAUCCCUGCAGAACACCUGAGGUGAAACCCCUACGUACAAGGCUGGGGCCUAGCUAGGAGCCCACCCCAGAAUGAAUUCCAGCAGCACAGGGCCACCAUUCCUGCCCACUGCAGGAGCCCAUAUAUUUCAGCAAAGCCUGUCCUUAUUUUUCAAAGUGCAAUGGAAGCAUUAGGCCUAUUGUUCACAUUUCAUUGCUAAUUUUUAGCUCUCUGUGAGUUAUGCCUUCCUUUAGAAAGCAACUUUAACAGAGGCUAUUCUUCAGCAGAAGUUUCUUCCAAUUCAUCAGCUUCACCACCACUUUUUUGUUUAUAAAAGUCAUACCACCUUUUAAGCAAUUCUUUUGCCAUCGUAUCCUAAAAAUCUCACCCAGUGUUCCUUCCAGUCCCACACAGCUCUUUUUUAGCUCAGUGCAGUCCUCCAAAAAAGACACUAGCUUGACACCAGAGCAGUGGGAGCUCUGCAACCCACAGCCAGCUGGCUCCAGUGGACGCUGGAGGAAGCCAGGCACUGACAUGAAGCUAACAGAGGCAGAGGAGCAAACCUUAUCUGGUCCAGCCUCCUUUCACCAGGGUAUUAAGGAUCCAUCUUCAAGCACUUAGGCUCCUUUGCUUAAUCUCCCCUUAACUCCUGAGAGGCCCUAGAGCAGCUUCUUUGAAUUAAUAGUUUUCAGUGCUAAGAGGCUCAGGAAUGAUUCUGAAGCAUGCCAUUUUGGAAAUGCCAUACUGGCUCUCCUUGGCCCUCUCCCAAAGCACCUAUUUCUUCCCUUCAUCUGCUACACGUGCAGCAAUCCUGCUCAGAUAAUCAGGGGAACCGUGAGCCCAAACCAAAUUCCAGAUGGUCAACAAGAAAAGGACAGAAAUAACCACCUAACUCUUAAUGUCUGCAUAAGGAGGACCGUAGUUUUGUUGUUGUUGUUUCAUCUUUCUGUGGAAAUAAAGUAAUAGUCCAUUUUUUAAUCCAAUAUCAGAUCUCUACAGAAGAUAUUUUCCUCAAUGUUCACCACUAGAAAGUAUAAUAUAUCUUUUUCUUUUCCCUAAAGAGAUUAAAGUGCAAUUAUUGCUGGAAUUUGUC